AAAUAAAAAAUAAUUUCGAAUGUCAAAUCUACAAUUGAAAAUUCAUCAACACAACAAAAUUGAUCACAACCAAAUAGAAAGAAAAUGAAGCAGAUUCAAUCCCUCACCUUCUUGAAAUCAUUGGCUUUGACGGUGCCAUCAGGAGAGACUUCAAUACUAUACUUCUUCCCAGUACGUUCAUCAACAACGGUGAGCGUUCCUUUGACAUUGGACGGUGGAGAGAUCCCAGAGGAAGCGGAGAGGUGGAGAGGAUGGAGGAGUGCGGCGGAGGAGGUGGUGGAGGAAGGAAGCAAGUGAGCUGUGAGGGUGGAUAAACGGUUCCGUGCAGCGUCGUGCAUCUUCGAUUCCGUUGUUGUUGUCGUUGACAUUGUUGUACGAUGUUUGUGUCUUGUGUUUGUGUUUAUGUUGUUUUUCGUUAUUCUUUGAAUGGAUUCGAGAAAUAAGGAUCGUAUUAUUGUUAGGAUUAGGAUUAGAAUUGGAAAUUGGAG
rnacentral:lncRNA from 1 species